rnacentral:rRNA from 1 species
AUUGAACGCUGGCGGCAUGCCUUACACAUGCAAGUCGAACGGCAGCAUGAUCUAGCUUGCUAGAUUGAUGGCGAGUGGCGAACGGGUGAGUAAUACAUCGGAACGUGCCCUGUAGUGGGGGAUAACUAGUCGAAAGAUUAGCUAAUACCGCAUACGACCUGAGGGUGAAAGUGGGGGACCGCAAGGCCUCAUGCUAUAGGAGCGGCCGAUGUCUGAUUAGCUAGUUGGUGAGGUAAAGGCUCACCAAGGCGACGAUCAGUAGCGGGUCUGAGAGGACGAUCAGCCACACUGGGACUGAGACACGGCCCAGACUUCUACGGGAGGCAGCAGUGGGGAAUUUUGGACAAUGGGCGAAAGCCUGAUCCAGCAAUGCCGCGUGUGUGAAGAAGGCCUUCGGGUUGUAAAGCACUUUUGUCCGGAAAGAAAUGGCUCUGGUUAAUACCUGGGGUCGAUGACGGUACCGGAAGAAUAAGGACCGGCUAACUACGUG